AUUGAACGCUGGCGGCAGGCCUAACACAUGCAAGUCGAGCGGAUGAAGGGAGCUUGCUCCUGGAUUCAGCGUCGGACGGGUGAGUAAUGCCUAGGAAUCUGCCUGGUAGUGGGGGAUAACGUCCGGAAACGGGCGCUAAUACCGCAUACGUCCUGAGGGAGAAAGUGGGGGAUCUUCGGACCUCACGCUAUCAGAUGAGCCUAGGUCGGAUUAGCUAGUUGGUGGGGUAAAGGCCUACCAAGGCGACGAUCCGUAACUGGUCUGAGAGGAUGAUCAGUCACACUGGAACUGAGAAACGGUCCAGACUCCUACGGGAGGCAGCAGUGGGGAAUAUUGGCCAAUGGGCGAAAGCCUGAUCCAGCCAUGCCGCGGGUGUGAAGAAGGUCUUCGGAUUGUAAAGCACGUUAAGUUGGGAGGAAGGGCAGUAAGUUAAUACCUUGCUGUUUUGACGUUACCAAAAGAAUAAGCACCGGCUAACUUCGUG
rnacentral:rRNA from 1 species